AUUGAACGCUGGCGGCAGGCCUAACACAUGCAAGUCGAACGGCAGCGCGGACUUCGGUAUGGCGGCGAGUGGCGAACGGGUGAGUAAUACAUCGGAACGUACCCUGUUGUGGGGGAUAACUAGUCGAAAGAUUAGCUAAUACUGCAUACGACCUGAGGGUGAAAGUGGGGGACCGGCAGGCCUGACGCAGCAGGAGCGGCCGAUGUCUGAUUAGCUAGUUGGUGGGGUAAAGGUCCACCAAGGCGACGAUCAGUAGCUGGUCUGAGAGGACGAUCAGCCACACUGGGACUGAGACACGGCCCAGACUCCUACGGGAGGCAGCAGUGGGGAAUUUUGGACAAUGGGGGCAACCCUGAUCCAGCAAUGCCGCGUGUGUGAAGAAGGCCUUCGGGUUGUAAAGCACUUUUGUCCGGAAAGAAAUCGCGCUGGUUAAUACCUGGCGUGGAUGACGGUACCGGAAGAAUAAGCACCGGCUAACUACGUGCCAGCAGCCGCGGUAA
rnacentral:rRNA from 1 species